rnacentral:rRNA from 1 species
UACAGAGGUCCCGAGCGUUGUUCGGAUUCACUGGGCGUAAAGGGUGCGUAGGUGGCAGGGUAAGUCGGAUGUGAAAGCUCGGAGCUCAACUCCGAAAUGGCAUUGGAAACUACCCAGCUCGAGGGUUGGAGGGGGGACUGGAAUGCUUGGUGUAGCAGUGAAAUGCGUAGAUAUCGAGAGGAACACCAGUGGCGAAGGCGAGUCCCUGGACAACACCUGACACUGAGGCACGAAAGCCGGGGGAGCAAACAGG